CUGAUCGAACGUUGCGGACCCCUGGGAAAGCCCGCCUGCUUCUUACUGAUUUCUCUCUCCAGUUAUGAUAAAAUUUUGACUCCAUUAAGUGAGGGCAAGGCUGUGGGGAGUGAGUGUUUUGUGAGGACAGCAGGAGAGAAGGGCCCAAGAGACUGGGGGCUGGGGCAGCUGCCUCAGGGCAUCUGAUUCUCAGUCGGCAUUCCAGCUUCUAAGAAGUGAGCCUUGCAGACUUGAAGCCUUCUCAGUUAAGGCCGCUGGAAGUGACAGGAAUGGGGGAAGGCAGGUCCCAGCUCCCCAUGUGAUGGUGGGCAUCUCCUGGAGAAGCUGCCCAGCUCACAGCACCAACUCCUUCUUGGGACCCCUCCUCCUGACUCAGGGGGGUGCUCGAGGAAGCUAUGUCUUACCACCCUUGGCUGAGAAGUGGACACACAGCUCUGGAGCCAUAGAGUCUCUCUUCAGAACAUUAAAUCACUGGAGAAUUGCAGAGACUAGGAUUUGUUAGAGUUAAAUCUCUUUAAUGGCAAU